rnacentral:lncRNA from 1 species
AAGAGGUAUGUAUGUUAAUAUAUAUACUAUAUUUUGCUGCUGUUAAUUUUUUCCUGUAUUAAUUUUUAUUUUAUUUUAAAUGGCCAUAUUAAGGGGCUGUCACAGGGGCAAAGUGAGUGCUGCCUGGGGCGGAUGUUAUGCUCUGGGCAGCAGUUACAAACAAUGGUUAGCGGCAAAGUAACUCAAAUUUUAGCUCGCAACUCAAAGCAAGAGAGAGAGCUCUUAUCUCAAAAAACUUGAGACACUCGCAAGUCAAGGUACGACUGUACUACAUAAAACAGUAAAAUAAAACUUCAAGUUGAUACAACAGCGAUGACCAAAUUAUGUACAUUUGAUGAAUUUGUUUAAAAAAAGAGCAUAUAUCAAUUUGGAUACAUUUUAUAUUUUUGUAAUUUUGAGUUAUAGGAGCUGAAUUUAUGCAGCUGAAUAUUGCAUAAAAUAUUUGCAAGAGCAGUUUUUAAUAAAUUAUUCGAUAAUCAUCCCUUCUUAGUCAUGUUAGCAAUAUGCUAAAAUAAUAUUUUCAGCAUAACAGCAUGUAUGAAAAUUGUUUUAGCCCUAAUUAAAAUAUCAUCUGUAUAUAUAUAUUUUUAACAUUUAAUUGAAUUAUUACAAUAUAAAUCGCUGUCACUUAUUAUAUCUGAUGAGUGCGUUAUAUACUUCUUUUCCUCUAAGUUGCAGGACUGUUCUUGCACUUUCAACAUUAAGAGGAGUUUAUUAUUAUUAUUCAGCUAAAGGUCGAAAGACGAACCCCUCUAUCAUUCAACAAGAAUAGAAAAGAAUUCUUUCAAUAAUGCUUAGAUUGGCAGCUAGUUUUUUUUUUUAUUUACAUCAUUUUAUCUGGAAUGUCUAAACUUUGGGGAAAAUGACGUAAAUGAAUAUCAUGCAAGUAUUUUUAAAUCUGCAUUGUAAAACAUUUGCAUUAUAGUGUUUUUUUUAUCAUCCAAAAAUUUUUUAUUGUAUUUUUAAUCGAAUAUUUUAUUUACGGAAAUAGUCAAGUAUAUAUAUAUAAAAAAAUAGCUAUAGUAGUAAGUAUUGUUACUAACACUUGAUUUUUUCAAUGCGAAAAAAUUAUGUAACUGAUUUUUACUCUUCUCCGAGCAUAUAUAUGUGCUAAUGCAAGGCUGAUUAUUACUUGUAAUUUUAUUAUGUUUCAUUCUCAAACUUAGCAUUUUCCCUCAAAAAUUGAAUCCAGAGCUACAUAAUGCACUGCCAUUUCCAUCAACAUGUCGGUUGAAGUCAUUCCUAUUUAGCCUUUUACACAAUUUUUUUAAAUUCAGUUUCAGUCAUAUCAGUGCAAUAUAAUUUUUUGUAUUAACUGAAUAAUUAAAUAUUUCUUACAUCCAGAAAGAAUUAAUGCUAGUCUCUGAAUAACAAAAAUGGAAGUUAAUAGUAUAAAUAUAUAUUUAAUAAUAAAAGGAACUCAAUAAUCAGAUAAAUAUGGUAUUUGUAAAUAUUACAUUGUUUAACACAAUGCUAAUUAUCAUCAUCAUUAAAUACUGUAGUAAUAUAUUGGCCCUAUAAAAUUUGUAGCUGUAACGAUUUUGGUUUUGGAUAAUCGCAUCUCGUUUUAUUUAAUAACGAAUAUUCGGUUCCCUUCCGUCUUCCAUGAUUAAUAAGACAAAAAUCUGAUUAUGUGUAUAUCAUCAUUUGAAAAAUUGUACAGACGUGAGGAUCGCAAUAUCAAGAUUUAAAAAAAAAUUUCACUAAUUGAAGCAGAUUCCAUUAAUUUAAUCAUAUCAUUCAAUGUAUAUCCAGUGUUCAUCUAAAGACAAAUGUUUUCUAAAAUAUAUGAUGUCGACUUUUUGUUAGUUACAACAGUUCAGUGUAAUAUAAAAAAAAAGUCAUUUGUGCGAGAGCAAAACUUUCAAAAUGAAUAUAAUCAAAACUCCUCUUCCAAACUGUUGCAUUCUUGUGGGCAAAUCCAUUGUCAUAUUUUUCUGUCGAAGAUAUUGCUUCUCAAUUUCUUUUUUUUUAAUUGAAAGAAAUGUAUAUAUUCCAUUAUGGUUUAGAUUACAAAAGCUGUGUUCGUCACAGUGACAAAUAACGUUAUUACUAGAGCGAACAUCUUGUACAUUUAUAAUAAAAUUAGUUCUCCCGAAACGAAAAGUACUCCGAGAGAUACUACAACGUUAACCGGCAAAAAGUAACUUUGGAUGUUCCUUGUGCCGAAUUCUCAAAUAAUUUGCAAGAUUUUUCCACCACAAAGUGAGUCAAAAGAUAGAGUUUGUUUUCUUUUGAAAUAUUUUGACUGUGAAGAAAUGAAAAAUAACCGUGAAUGCUCAAAUUGCAUAAGAUUUUUCAUUUCUGUAUCAAAAUUCCUUUAAUUAGAUAAACUUGCUGCAAAAAAAAAAAAAAAAAAAAUCACAAUUGUAAUUAUAAACCAUGUAAAUAGUAAGCAGC